GACACCAUGACUUUCAUCACCAUCUUCAUCUGGACACUUUUGUGUUGUAUUAAAGAGUCCAGAGGACAGGUGACUGUGACUCAGACUCCUGAUAUGAAAUCUGCUCUUCCAGGAGACACAGUCACUGUUAACUGUAAAACCAGUUCUGCAGUGUAUUACUCCAGUUCCUAUGGUCACUUUCUGAACUGGUACCAACAGAAACCUGGACAGGCUCCUAAACUCCUCAUUAAAUAUGCCAACCAGUUAGAGUCAGGAAUUCCAAAUCAUUUCAGUGGCAGUGGAUCUGGGACUGACUUCACUCUGACCAUCAGAGGAGUCCAGACUGAAGAUGCAGGAGAUUAUUACUGUCAGAGUGCACAUUACAUCAGUUACAACUGGGUGUUCACACAGUGA